GGCCGCAUGGCGCAACGGUAGCGCGUCAGAUUCCAGUAUCCUUGGAGAUUCCUGAAGGCUUCCUGUUCGAAUCAGGAUGUGGUCA
rnacentral:tRNA from 1 species